rnacentral:rRNA from 1 species
GCCUGAUCAGCAUGCCGCGUGAGUGAUGAAGGCCUUCGGGUUGUAAAGCUCUUUUGUCAGGGAAGAUAAUGACUGUACUCAUACGAAUAAGCCUCGGCCUGACUCUCUUGCCAACAGCCGCGGUAAUACUAAGGGCGCUAGCCUUGUUCAGAAUUACUGGGCGUAAAGUGCACGUAAGUUGAUGGGCUAAUCCGGUGUGAAAUCCCCUGGCUCAACCUCAGAACUGCCCCUCAGACUCACCCUCUAAACUGCUUUAGAGGUUGCUGGAAUUCCUAGUGUAGAAGUGAAAUUCAUUUAUAUUCGGAAGAACACCAUUGGCGAAUGCGGGUAGCUGCACCGAUACUGACGCUGAUACCCGGAACCUUGGCGAGCACACAGGAUUAAAUACCCUGGUAGUCCACGCCAUAAACUACCAGGGCAAUCCGUCCGCUAACCUUAGCUCUCUGGUUGUCAGCUAACUAUUUACUCUUCCGCCUGGGGAAUACCGGCAGCUAAUUCACACUCGAAGCAAUUCACAAGAUUUAAA